CAGCCGCCACGGUAAUACGUAGGGUGCAAGCGUUAAUCGGAAUUACUGGGCGUAAAGCGUGCGCAGGCGGUUAUAUAAGACAGAUGUGAAAUCCCCGGGCUCAACCUGGGAACUGCAUUUGUGACUGUAUAGCUAGAGUACGGCAGAGGGGGAUGGAAUUCCGCGUGUAGCAGUGAAAUGCGUAGAUAUGCGGAGGAACACCGAUGGCGAAGGCAAUCCCCUGGGCCUGUACUGACGCUCAUGCACGAAAGCGUGGGGAGCAAACAGGAUUAGAUACCCGUGUAGUCCCUGUCUCUUAUAA
rnacentral:rRNA from 1 species